UCCACGUUACGGCUGUUUACUUCCAGAACCUUCGCGAGCCGUCGCGAUUCGUGGCCGGCCGAUUAGAUACCGCGGGUGGAACACGUGGAACGCGCCGUACCGAGCGAGCACACCGUGGCCACCGUGUGCCACACCGUGCGACGCGCCAGGGACGGAUUUCGCGACGAACGUCGCGCCCGCGACAUUCUUGUCAAUGAUGUAUCGAUAGCCUUUUUUGCAUCACGAAUAGUUGCGAAUAGUAUCGCGUAUCGCGUCAACCUCGGUGUCGACUGCCGUCGCAUCCCGGUGAAAAUCCCGAGAAAGAUUGCUAUUAAAAAUUGAAAGAUUGAUAUUUUUAACAGCGUUUUUGCUGCAGAUUCAAAAAUUGACGAACUCGGAGCCUUGAUAGCUCGAAGUGAUAAUUUUUUUUAGUGACGAGUGACAAGCACACUGUUUAUCGCAGCUUAUCUUAUACACGUUCACGCGAAGAAAGGCAUUCGGAUUCAACAAGAACAACUGAAUCAACAGUAGAUGCAAAACCGUGCUUUAUAAAUUGCAUCACUUCUGCAGGGAUGUGAAAAAUCGCCGCGAACCCCGUGCAAAGACUGUAACAGAACUGUAAGUUUUGUAUAACGUUAUAUGGAUGAAAAACGAACAAUGACGGAUGGAACAUGUUACUUCGUUCCGAUCUGGGUUUGCACGCACCCGUGGCACCGUUUAGUCUAACGGUAUCUCAGGUAGUGAAUUAAAUGGAACGCCUCUGUUACGCACCGCGCUACGGUAUUAUUUCAUUGGUAUUCCUACAUAGAGACAAGUCUACGUGUGAAUGAUGAAACGUGACAUCAUCGUUGCAUCCAAAUCUUUGAAUAAUUAACAAAAUUUGUAAAAUUUAUACUUAAUCCAUUAAGUGCGUACUUACAUUAAUUUCUUAAAACUUAUUCUACAUUCUUUUCUAUAAUUUAAUAGUCAAUUGAUACUAUAAUAAUUAGCUUAGAAUUUUAUGAUUCAACGAUCGCAUAAAAUUGUAAUGUGCAUUAGUUUUUUUGUACUGUUUUUUCUUCACGCUUAAAAGAAAUAACUUGUCCACGUGAUAGAUUAAAAUCCGAAAGAAUAGAAAAUAACUUGAAAUGAAUUAUUGCUUAAGUAUUCAUAACAAAGGAAAUCGAAAGUGACUUGAAGUAGAUAAUACUUACAUACUAACGAUAGAUUAAAACAUUAAAACAGGGUAGAGGGCAAAAGUGACUUUAAGUGAUUCAACGCUUAUUAAGUACUUAUGUAUGUAAAUCAACAAACUGUAUAUUAAUUAAUAUCUAAUGAAUGUAGAAUUCAACCAUCUGUACUAAAUAUAAUAAUAUAUAAUUGAAUUUAAUUUACCAUUCACCAGAUAAAUUAACCAAGGAUCAAUCUAUUAGAAAUAUUUAUAUUACCAAAAGGUUUACUUUGUAAUACGGUUUAAAUUCGCAAAUUCUGAUUUAUAAUAAUCUUCUAAUAUCGGGAUUAGAAUAAUCAACUCUCAUGGUUGUAAAUGUUGGUGUAGUAAGAAAUUUUGGGAAUGAUCUCUUUAUCUCCAUGAUUGUGUCCAAUAUUGCCCUUUGGCCUUGUUCUAGUGCUGAGAGCUGUCCGAUUAUGUCGUCUAAUUUAUUAUUAAUCUCUGAAUAUUCGGAUAGAAUCUGAGUAUAUUGAUAUCAUGACCUGCAGGUAGAUGUGUGCCCUGAGGUUGUUUGAUUUCUAUUUUAUGUAAUGGUGUAAUAACACUUGGUCCAGAUAUUGGAUGGUCAUUAUCAUCAUCAUCAGAACCAUAAUAUUGUAAUGUUUGGGUUUUGUUAUCAGUCAUUUUGAAAUGUGUUAAAGACUUGGUACAUUUGAUCAAUAAUGCUGCUUUGUUAUUACAUAUAGUACAUAGGCCUGUAAAAUUAAAGUGGUGUUGAUAUAGAAGAUGUAAAACUACAAGAAUCAAUAAAAAGUACUUAAAAAUAAAACUAAGUAAUAUAAAAUAUAGGUGUCUAUGAUAAAAUAA